rnacentral:lncRNA from 1 species
CACAUCUGAGUUUGAAUGACCAUGGCUAGCCCUAAACUUGGCACACUGCCACUGCACCGGCUGUUCAGAGGUGGAACCCCGGGUCCUGUGCUUGCUAGUCCCAGGCACCCUCUGCCUUUUCUGCUCCUCCGUGUCAACAGCUGCUGAAGUCAAACCCCCGAUUCUCUUACCUACCUCUCCUCACCCCAGUGUGCUGCUAGCCCCCUCCUCCCUGCACUUGCCCAGAGGCCUCCAGACAGGGAUUUGCAUUCAAGUCUGUACGCCAUUGACAGCAAGUGCAUCUUGAUCCUAAAA